rnacentral:hammerhead_ribozyme from 1 species
GCACUGCUGAGGAGUCCCAUAAUAGGAAGAAACGGUCGUCCAGUGU